rnacentral:rRNA from 1 species
GACGAACGCUGGCGGCGUGCCUAAUACAUGCAAGUAGAACGCUGAAGGAGGAGCUUGCUCUUCUGGAUGAGUUGCGAACGGGUGAGUAACGCGUAGGUAACCUGCCUGGUAGCUGGGGAUAACUAUUGGAAACGAUAGCUAAUACCGCAUAACAGUAGAUGUUGCAUGACAUUUGCUUAAAAUGUGCAAUUGCACCACUACCAGAUGGACCUGCGUUUUAUUAGCUAGUUGGUGGGGUAACGGCUCACCAAGGCGACGAUACAUAGCCGACCUGAGAGGGUGGUCGGCCAAACUGGGACCGAGAAAACGCCCAGACUUCUACGGGGGGCAGCAGUAGGGAAUCAUCGGAAAUGGACGGAAGUCUGACCGAGCAAAGACGCGUGAGUGGAGAAGGUUUUCGGAUCGGAAAGGUCUGUUGUAAGAGAAGAAAGAGUGUGAGAGUGGAAAGUUGACACUGUGACGGUAUCUUAACAGAAAGGGACGGCUAACUACGUG